rnacentral:rRNA from 1 species
GUGAGGAAUAUUGGUCAAUGGACGAGAGUCUGAAUCAGCCAAGUCGCGUGAAGGAAGACGGUUCUAUGAAUUGUAAACUUCUUUUGUGCAGGAAUAAAGUGGGUUACGUGUAACCUUUUGUAUGUACUGUACGAAUAAGGAUCGGCUAACUCCGUGCCAGCAGCCGCGGUAAUACGGAGGAUCCGAGCGUUAUCCGGAUUUAUUGGGUUUAAAGGGUGCGUAGGUGGAUUGAUAAGUCAGCGGUGAAAGUUUGCAGCUUAACUGUAAAAUUGCCGUUGAAACUGUCGGUCUUGAGUGCAAAUGAGGUAGGCGGAAUGUGUUGUGUAGCGGUGAAAUGCUUAGAUAUAACACAGAACUCCGAUUGCGAAGGCAGCUUACUGGGAUGCAACUGACACUGAUGCACGAAAGCGUGGGUAUCAAACAGGAUUAGAUACCCUAGUAGUCC